rnacentral:tRNA from 1 species
AAGGAUUUAAGUUAUUUAAACUAUUAACCUUCAAAGUUAAAAAUAAAGAACAUCUUUAAGCCUUA